rnacentral:rRNA from 1 species
UACGUAGGGGGCAAGCGUUGUCCGGAAUCAUUGGGCGUAAAGCGCGUGUAGGCGGCCCGGUAAGUCCGCUGUGAAAGUCGGGGGCUCAACCCUCGAAUGCCGGUGGAUACUGUCGGGCUAGAGUGCGGAAGAGGCGAGUGGAAUUCCUGGUGUAGCGGUGAAAUGCGCAGAUAUCAGGAGGAACACCAAUUGCGAAGGCAGCUCGCUGGGACGUGACUGACGCUGAGACGCGAAAGCGUGGGGAGCAAACGGG